UUUCUUUUCUUCUUCUCUCUAUACGUUGGUGUUCUAACCAAUAAUCACCGAUGCGAUGUUCUGUCCGAUCGAUUCAGGAACCAACUAACGGAUGCCAAAAGUGCUAUACUUUGAGAGUUCGUUAAACGGAUGCCAAAGUACUAUACUUUGAGAGUUCGUUAAACGGAUGCCAAAGUACUAUACUUUGUGAUUUCGGUAAACGGAAUCCAAAGUGUUACACUUUGUGAAAUUCGUUAAGGUUCGAAUCUCGUGACUACCGUUAAGGUUUGAUUUGGGUUUUACACAAAUACGUAUUCCAUUCUGUUAAACUAUAUGUUUAACUACCAAAAAUACUCCCAACUACACACUCACAAUCAAACAAACUAUUAAAUCAUCAGAAGACCCAGAAUAAUAAAGUGCAUGCUUAAUUAUCAGAAGAAGUAGAAUCAAGAAGCUUGUUAACUCAAUCUUGCAUGCUUAUAAAGUAAUUACAGUAGAUUGGAGUAAGGAUUGGAUUCAGCACUGAAGGACUUCAAGAAGUGGCUUAUUUUAUUAAUUAAAUCAACUUAAGAAAUAUUGUUUUUGGGUUUAUCCCGUAUUAAAAGCUACCUUUGUAAAACAUGGAAUUUAUUCCAUCUAUUUAAAUAAAAUCCGGUGUUUCUAAACUCUGAUAUUUUUCCUAACUCACGGUCCUGAUGAAAUUUCUGCUGCAAUGUUUUUCAAAAUAAUCACCGGUACCACUUGACUGCUCGCGGCUUCCGAUUCCGGCCAGGAUGGGGUCGGGGGUCGUGACAAUCAUGUUCAUGGAACAUGAACUAGCCUUAUGUUAAGUAGUAAAGCUUCUAGAUGACGAACCCUUUCAAACAUAAACAUGAACUUGUGUAAAAGUAGUUUUUCUUGUAAAAUGAAGUUCUAAACUAGUAGAUCUAAAGAUCUAUAAGUGGUAUUUUCGAAGAAUCAAGUGUAAAAUGAAAUCAUGUUUAGAAGCCGGAUCUUUCUUGAAACAAAGGUGUUUUUGUGAACAAACAAGUGUGUAGACACUUGUGUAACGAAAGGAUUUAGCAAAGAAAUAUUUUUGUAAUUUUUGACUAGAAGUUGUAAAAAUGCAUUUUCUUUAAAAUAUAAAGAUUUCAAGAAACUGACUUUAUUUUUAAGGAUAGAAAGAUCUACUAAAAAUAUUGGAAAGUUACUACAUAUUUUUACACAACUCACAAGUUCAUGUGUUUGCGAUUUAUACUUGUUUUGACUAGUAUAGUGUUUGAAUAUUGUUUGUUGAUGUUGGGAAAAUUGUUGAUUGGAUUUUGAAAAAAAAAUGAUACGCUUGUAAGCGUGGCCACCUCUAGUUACAGAGGAAACUCUGGCGAAAUUUUUCCAGAAAUAUAACAGUUGGAAAAUAUUUUUACAACAAGUGUUAUGAAUAUAUUCUUAACUUAUUUUACCAAAUAAAAUUCGCCAUGGAUUUUUAUUACAAAACUUCCAAGUGUCGGAGGUGGGAUUUUUAUAAACAAAACUUGUUAAAUAUAUAUUUAGAAUAUAUAUUUUUCAUAGUAACACUUGUGAGAUUUUCAUAACUAUUUUGUGAACUAUAUAAAUAUUAUUUUUAGAGUAAAAAUAAUAUUACUGGAAUACACUGAACAGUAACGACUCCAAAAUAAUACUAACGCCCCCACAAUAAAUAUUUAAGUUACACCGGUAUUAUUAUUACCACCCGAACUUCAAAUGUAACUUAUGUAUUUUCAGGAAAUACUCUUAAAUGCGUAUUUUGAUAAAAGUAUUAUUUUGGAAAUUAUAUGGAAUAACAUAUAAUAUUUUUGGGAAAAAUAUUUAUAUUUUGGGAAUAGAAUGUUGUAGACGAAUGAAAUAAAAUAUAUUUUAUUAAGUGAGACUUAAUAAUAUAUUUUCGGAGAUAUAUAAACGCACAUGUAUUAAAACCCACAUCCUUGGGAAGGAAUAAAUUUACCAAAUAAUUACGAAGUGUAAACACGAAAUAGUUGUCUAACUAUUUCCCAAAAACUUAAACCUUAAGCUAAGGCACAGCCGUCCGUCUAAUAGAAGUUAGUACGUGUAGGUCAUCGCACAGCAGGUUGACUGGGAGAUUACUAGUUAGAGACGCAGUACGUGUAGGACCGAGGGACAAUAGCGGAAGAUCUAUCUGGGUGCAGCGAGCCCAGCCCCAGGCCCAACAGUACGGACAUCGGGGUGACAUGGUGCCCGACACAAAAAUCUGCUAGGAAAUUAAGGAUCUGGCACGGUAUGCUACGUUUUCACGCUGCGUUAGAGUUAUGGGAUCAGCCAAGUUUAGGGGUUGUGGCUUUUACCUGGACGAGUCACAGUUCUUAAACUACGUCUAUUUUAAGUUUGUGGUUGUGUCUUUUGAACAAUGUUUUAAUGUCAUUAGGUUGUAAUUUCCGUUACAUGUGUCAACGCUUUAAGACAAUGUUGUGUUACUUUUAUUUUAAAACUUAAAUCAAUGGAUGAUCUGCAUGGUUU
rnacentral:lncRNA from 1 species